AGACCGUCGCCGCUGUUGCUGCCGCUGGUGGUGCCCGUGUCCGCGCUCCCGUGUAAAAAAUAAGAAAUUUACCGUGAUACCCUAUAGUUUCUGUCGUGAUUGAUUCGUGAUUAUUUUGGCUAACAUAUCUUGAUACCGGAUCAUCUACGGAGGUUUUCUUCAGGAUUACUUUGUGUGGAUCAUCCUCCCUUUGAGCGCGCUCCGGCCAGCACCAGUGGUGACCCUCCAUCCAGUGGUGACCCUCUGACUAGUGACGGGCCGCUGGUGACCCGCAGUGUCAGUGUCAGUGUCAGUGUGUCAGUGGUGAGUGCUGGCGCGUCGCCCCAUGCUCGAAUGGGAAGGCAACAAUGGAAACGGAGACGGAGACAACCUGUCCUUCGAGGACUCGGACAGAUUUGAGGAGGACAGUCUGUGCUCGUGGGUCUCGGAGCAGGAGUCGGUCUGCACGAACUGGCGCGGCUGGAAGAGACCGACUGUGAGCCGACUGCCUCCGCCGCCCUCCGCAUUCUACUCCAGCAAAGACGAAG